rnacentral:rRNA from 1 species
UACGUAGGGGGCAAGCGUUAUCCGGAUUUACUGGGUGUAAAGGGAGCGUAGACGGCAAGGCAAGUCUGGUGUGAAAACCCAGGGCUUAACCCUGGGACUGCAUUGGAAACUGUCUGGCUUGAGUGCCGGAGAGGUAAGCGGAAUUCCUAGUGUAGCGGUGAAAUGCGUAGAUAUUAGGAAGAACACCAGUGGCGAAGGCGGCUUACUGGACGGUAACUGACGUUGAGGCUCGAAAGCGUGGGGAGCAAACAGGAUCAGAUACCCUGGUAGUCCACGCCGUAAACGAUGAAUGCUAGGUGUUGGGGAGCAAAGCUCUUCGGUGCCGCCGCAAACGCAUUAAGCAUUCCACCUGGGGAGUACGUUCGCAAGAAUGAA